UACGUAGGGGGCAAGCGUUGUCCGGAUUUAUUGGGCGUAAAGCGCUCGCAGGUGGUUCGAUGCGUCGUGCGUGAAAGACCCCGGCUCAACUGGGGAGGGUCGUGCGAUACGGUCGAACUGGAGGCCAGUAGGGGGAUGCGGAAUUCCGGGUGUAGUGGUGGAAUGCGUAGAUAUCGGGAGGAACACCUGUGGCGAAAGCGGCGCACUGGACCACAACUGACGCUGAGGCGCGAAAGCUAGGGGAGCAAACAGG
rnacentral:rRNA from 1 species